rnacentral:rRNA from 1 species
GACGAACGCUGGCGGCGUGCUUAACACAUGCAAGUCGAACGGAAAGGCCCUGCUUUUGUGGGGUGCUCGAGUGGCGAACGGGUGAGUAACACGUGAGUAACCUGCCCUUGACUUUGGGAUAACUUCAGGAAACUGGGGCUAAUACCGGAUAGGAGCUCCUGCUGCAUGGUGGGGGUUGGAAAGUUUCGGCGGUUGGGGAUGGACUCGCGGCUUAUCAGCUUGUUGGUGGGGUAGUGGCUUACCAAGGCUUUGACGGGUGGCCGGCCUGAGAGGGUGACCGGCCACAUUGGGACUGAGAUACGGCCCAGACUCCUACGGGAGGCAGCGGUGGGGAAUAUUGCACAAUGGGCGGAAGCCUGAUGCAGCAACGCCGCGUGCGGGAUGACGGCCUUCGGGUUGUAAACCGCUUUCGCCUGUGACGAAGCGUGAGUGACGGUAAUGGGUAAAGAAGCACCGGCUAACUACGUG